rnacentral:rRNA from 1 species
UACGGAGGGUGCAAGCGUUAUCCGGAUUCACUGGGUUUAAAGGGUGCGUAGGUGGGCAAGUAAGUCAGUGGUGAAAUCUCCGGGCUUAACCCGGAAACUGCCAUUGAUACUAUUUGUCUUGAAUACUGUGGAGGUCAGCGGAAUAUGUCAUGUAGCGGUGAAAUGCUUAGAUAUGACAUAGAACACCAAUUGCGAAGGCAGCUGACUACAGGGGCAUUGACACUGAGGCUCGAAAGCGUGGGGAUCAAACAGGGA